GUGGGAGACGGCCUCUCGAGUCAAAAAGCGACUGCUGUGGAGCUGGGAGGAAAAUCCCCAUGGCUGGAGCAGGGGGAGAGCAUCACGGCUGUGACCCCAGAGCUGGGGUCAGCCCCCGCGCAGGGACAUCCCCCUGGGAAAUGGAGCGGGCAGUGCGGGGCACGGUCACUCCCCCUCUUAAUGAGCCCUGUCAGCUUGCCUUGCAUUUUAGCUAAUUAAUUACUCCACUUCGGAGCUGCGCUUUGAGUUGACACCAGCACCACAGGAAGGAACGGGGGUUGAUUUCAAUCCCCUCUCUGUUUGUUUGCUCUCACAGUCCGGAUCCACACAACAGGAAACGUUGGGUGAGUGCUCAGGGAAAAUAGUCAGCAACGCUAUCUGAGAGCCAUAUCAAAGAGAUUUGGGCCAGAAGUGGACCCAGCUACUGUGAAGCUAUUAGCAGCAUCUCAGGCUUCCUGUGUACAGCGGGUUAGGGGGCGAGCACUGCCCACAUGUUUGCUUGCUGGAAUAGUCACCAGCACUGCCAUGAACUCACAGCCCUGAACAGACCUUCCGAAAGUAGUUCAGAGUGGAAGCAGCAGGAAGGAGGGAUUUUCUGGCCUGGAAUAUUUUCGCCCUUUAAGGGCUACAGUGCAAGAUCUUCCUUGAGUGGGUCUGUUGCUGGCAUGCUGGGAGCAAGCAUGCACCAACGCAUGCAAGAUGGCAAGAUGGGUGAGCGAGGCUGUGCAGAUAGCCUGACCUCACUCAGGGCAGCAACACCAGGACAACAGCAUUGGGAUCAUCACUGGGAAAGCUCAGAAAGCUCCAGCGGAGUGAUGUAUAAGGAAAAGCUGCAGUGCGGGGCAAAUUGUAUCUCCCAGCACCUGGAGCCUGCAGCCUCACUAUGAGGAGGAGGAGGAGGAGGAGGCAGUGAACCCAUCCCAUGGCAAGGCAAUGGGUGAAGUGGGCAUCUGCCUAAAUCCCAUCUGGCCACACACCUCAGAGCUGGAACAUGCAAGAUUUUGUUGAUGGGACCAAUAAUCAGAGCACAGUGUAAUCAGCCCCCUGGGAUGUCUGAGAUCCCACUCUCAGCUGACACCUGCAGCAAGGCCUGUGUUCCUCAUGGCAUGUAAGGGCUCAAGAUCUCUGCAGACACUGUGGGACAUUCAGGACAAUGCUGAUUUGCUCUCACUUCUCUCCAUUGGCUCCAGAGGAACCCAAGCUUUCCAGGAAUGCCAAGGCAAAGGCACCCAAACUCAACCUGAAGCACCCAGCCUGCUGAUACCAAGCUUCUUUAGCUCUGUUCCCACUGGACCACCUAUGGAUGUCGAUGAAGACAACAAGGAGACUUAAUGGAUUCAAACAAGCUUUGGAUGAAUCCUUCAAAGCACCCUGGAAAUUCAGCUGUUUCCCCAGUUCUACUCUGCACAGAUCCACAGGUGGACCAGGAAUGGAUGGAGGAAUUAUAUUAGCCCCAAUGUGCAGUGCAGCACCCCUGCUCCUCAUCCAACAGAUCCUGAAGGGCCGUCCCCAAAUCUGUGGUUUUAUUGCUCUACUGGAAUUGUGCUCUGGACCUGAAGACUUCCAGGCAAAGCACAGAGCUUUUCCAUAGGCUCCAGAGGGCUCCUCAGGGCUGAGCCAUUCCCAGAACCGCCCGUCCCUGACCUCAGACAAGGCUCCAAUUAGGACUUUCAGUUAUUUUUCUUUGAAACAAACACAGGGCAAUGGGGAAAAGCAUCCUUAUCAUCUGGGGAUAUUCACAUUUUUACUACAUUUUCUUUCAGUUCUGAUUUUUUUUUUCCCCAGAACCAGUUAAUCCAUUUCUUUUGGACUUGUACCUUCAAGGCAAGAGCUGCAGCUCAACGUGCGGCCAAGCCAUUCCAGAAAAAUGCCUUCACUACAGAACAUGAACUUCCCAUUAUAGAGGCUGCAUAUGUGCUCUGAUUGAUCCCUAAACUGGCAUUUCAAUUUAUUUCCCACUGGAGGACUCAUUCAUUACAGAGAAAUAAGACUAUUAAAUGCAUGAUAAAGCACAUGCAUCAACAGACGAGAAUGGUGGUUACUUUACUGUACCUAUCUAAACAAUAGCUGAUAAAUAAAGCCAUUCAUGAUCACAUAGGACCUUUUAAAAUGAAUAAGGAAACAGUAAUAUGCUCAUUAUUAAAGCAGCUGAUUAAAAAAAAUAGCUUGCCAGCAUUAACACCACACACACUUUGCUGCUGCAUCCCUGGCUGUGGGACGGAGGCAGCUCGAAGGCACAGAUUGCGAGCAACCUGCCUGCAACCUGCCCAAGUCCCAGCAGCCUGCAGAUGUGUGCAGCUGUGCUGAUGUGGCAGCAGGCUCUUACCUCCAGCAGCAGGGAAAGAUGCCCAAAGGAGCCCAUGCAAGCUGCUUUUUUCAAGCUUCCAUCGCUUUUUCUUUAACUACUGCAUUGACUUUCUACCCAACAGCCUCUGGAGAGAAGCAGAAUAGUGGGGCAGGUGUAGAAUUCUUUAUACAUAUCAUAGAACCACAGAAUGGCUUAGGUUGGAAGGGACCUUAAAGAUCAUCGAGCUCCAACCCCAUGCAUAUGUACGUAUGCAUAUGGUUGGUUUCUUUCUUUUUUUUUUUUACCUGUCAAAAGAGGAAAGAUAGAGAUGGCAAAGAAAGACAAGACAUGGAGAAAGGAAAAUGAAGAGGAAAGGAGAAGUGGAUCUUUAUGAAAAUGAGGAGAUAGGUGUCCAUAAAGGCUCUGAAGCGGGACAUAAGAGCAGUGGCUUUGAAGUUUCUUUGCAAAUCAAACCAGGCUGGUCCUUUCUCUGCCCAUUUUUGAGGACACUGAACAGUCCCACCACUGCUACAACAACCCCAUAAAAAUUUACUGUCAGCUUUUUUUCUCUGUCCUUUUCCCCCACUUCGACCACAUCCUUAGACCUCCAAGAAGCCAAUGCCAGGCUAAGUAGUUGUGACAUAACUCAGCAGGUUUUCCUGAGCUCUAAUUGAAUUAUAAGCCAUCACUUUAUGGCCGCAUGUAAAAAUCCCACAUGUUCCUUGCACAGCAUAGUCAGUUCUUGGACCCAGUGGUGUGGCACUGGGCUGUG
rnacentral:lncRNA from 1 species